rnacentral:tRNA from 2 species
GGUGGGAUAGCGAAGCGGUCAAACGCAGCAGACUGUAAAUCUGCCCUCUUAGAGUUCGAUGGUUCGAAUCCAUCUCCCACCACCA